rnacentral:rRNA from 1 species
UACAGAGGUGGCGAGCGUUGUUCGGAUUUACUGGGCGUAAAGGGAGCGUAGGCGGCAAUGUGUGUCGGAUGUGAAAUCCCACGGCUCAACCGUGGAACGUCAUCCGAAACUGCAGUGCUAGAGUGCAGGAGGGGAGAGCGGAAUUCUUGGUGUAGCGGUGAAAUGCGUUGAUAUCAAGAGGAACACCGGUGGCGAAGGCGGCUCUCUGGAAUGCAACUGACGCUGAGGCUCGAGAGCGUGGGGAG